rnacentral:lncRNA from 1 species
CACCCCUGGGUGAAGAGGGCAUUGGGUUCAGAGGGAUCUGCACUGACCGCCUCCAAGUUUCUGGGCGGGCCCUGUUCUUAGGCUGUUCCCGCCGCAGCAGAAUAUAAAGUGCUGAAGCCAGAACCCAGACUGGGACGCAAGGCCCAGAACCUGCGCAGGGGCCACCGGCAAUCGGCCACCAUGCCCCUGCCCUGCUGUGCCUCGACUUACCCAUCUGCUGCUGGGGUAAUCCUAACCAUCUCUUACUGAAGGACCGUGAGUGCCUUGUUCAAGUUCAGUGUGGUGAGCCCAUUGGUGGGAGGUGUUUUUCCUCCCCAAAGACUGUAUUUUGAAAAGUACUAAUAAAAUACAGGAGAUGUUGAUAUGGCCCUGGGGGUGGCCGUCUUGAAGGAGGCCUGAUCUAUAUCCUGCCAGUCAGUGGAUGCGACAGAGCUGCUCACCGCCAAGACAUCUGCUGAAUGUGAAGGCUGGAGCAACAGCAACCCUCUUGGUCCAGCAAGAGGACUGGUCUAGCAACCCUCUAGGUAAUCUUGAGGGUGGAAGGCACACAGUAAGAGGGUGGACCAAGCAAGGAUGGAAGGACCCUGGGUCCCAUGAUUGGAGCUGUCCGGCAGCCACCAG